GCGCGCGGUCACUUCCGGGGCGUACCGGAAGUCGCUUUGUUUUGCUUCAAGAUGGCUGCGGGGAUGUAUUUGGAACAUUAUCUGGACAGUAUCGAAAACCUCCCCUUUGAACUGCAGAGGAACUUUCAGCUCAUGCGGGAUCUGGACCAAAGAACAGAGGACCUGAAGGCCGAAAUUGACAAGUUGGCCACCGAGUACAUGAGCAGCGCUCGCAGCCUGAGCUCCGAGGAGAAACUGGCCCUUCUCAAGCAGAUCCAGGAGGCCUAUGGCAAGUGCAAGGAAUUUGGCGACGACAAGGUGCAGCUGGCCAUGCAGACCUACGAGAUGGUGGACAAGCACAUUCGCCGGCUCGACACGGACCUGGCCCGUUUCGAGGCCGACCUGAAGGAGAAACAGAUCGAGUCGAGCGACUACGACAGCUCCUCCAGCAAAGGCAAAAAGAGUCGGACUCAGAAGGAGAAAAAGGCUGCCCGUGCCCGUUCCAAAGGAAAGAACUCCGACGAAGAGGCCCCCAAGGCUACCCAGAAGAAGUUAAAACUCGUGCGCACAAGUCCUGAGUAUGGGAUGCCCUCAGUGACCUUUGGCAGUGUCCACCCCUCUGAUGUGUUGGAUAUGCCUGUGGAUCCCAACGAGCCCACCUAUUGCCUUUGUCACCAGGUCUCCUAUGGAGAGAUGAUUGGCUGUGACAACCCUGAUGUGAGAAACCUUUUGCCUUAAUCAUGGUGUUCCAUUGAGUGGUUCCACUUUGCCUGUGUGGGGCUGACAACGAAGCCUCGGGGGAAAUGGUUUUGCCCACGCUGCUCCCAAGAAAGAAAGAAGAAAUAAAGAAGGGCCUUGGACCCCACCACAGUUCCUUCCAUGCCCCCCGCCCGGCCGGUGGGGAGCGGAACGGCUGUGCUGGACUCGGGGGGGUCAGGGGGAGGUGGACGGCACCCGCGGGGCGCCCGCCUCCCCGCUCUCCCCACUCCUGGUGCUGAGGCUGCAGCCACGCCCUGAAAAGGGGGUGCCCCGGCCACUAACAGUUUAUGCUCUCAUUCAGCCCACCCCUUUAGAGGGAGGUGGUCUUGUCCACUGUCCUUUUUUUUUUUUUUGCCUCCGUGCCGAGGCUGGUGCUGGAUUCCCAAGGGAUGGUCCUCUUUUCUCCCCUGGCUUUGUACUUCAGGACGUUGGGGGGCAGGCAGUCGCGGGGCACUCCCCGGCCUCCGCCCUCGGGAGGGGACGCUACGGUGUGAUCAAGUUUCUUCAUUACUUCCUGCUUUAUCCAUGGGGCUCCCCCAGAACUAAUGGGCUUCGAUCCUAAUAGGAGGGGCACACCCCCUGCCCUCUGUGCCAAAAAGGUUCACGCGGCCUUGUGAGCGGGAGAGGGGGCUGACGGGAUGCCGGGGCUCACGUGGGGGGUUGCAGGGGUGAAUAAAAGCUGUCCGUGUGGG